rnacentral:rRNA from 1 species
AUGGAGCUUGCUCCGGAAGAUCUAGUGGCGAACGGGUGCGUAACACGUGAGAAACCUGUCCUGGACGUCUGGGAUAACAGUUGGAAACGGCUGCUAAUACCGGAUGCCUUCAUUUGACGCAUGGUGUUGAGAAGAUUUAUCGGUUUGGGAGGGUCUCGCGGCCUAUCAGCUUGUUGGAGAGGUAACGGCUCACCAAGGCUUCGACGGGUAGCUGGUCUGAGAGGAUGGUCAGCCACCACUGGAACUGAGACACGGUCCAGACUCC